rnacentral:rRNA from 1 species
AUGCAAGUCGAGGGGCAGCGUGUUGGACUUCGGUCCGAUGACGGCGACCGGCGCACGGGUGCGUAACGCGUACACAACAUACCUUAUACUGGAGAAUAGCCCUUGGAAACGAGGAUUAAUGCUCCAUAGUAUCAAUUAGCUGCAUGGCUUGAUUGAUUAAAGCUCCGNGCGGUAUAAGAUUGGUGUGCGUACCAUUAGAUAGUUGGUGAGGUAACGGCUCACCAAGUCGAUGAUGGUUAGGGGGCGUGAGAGCGUGGACCCCCACACGGGUACUGAGACACGGACCCGACUCCUACGGGAGGCAGCAGUAAGGAAUAUUGGACAAUGGAGGCAACUCUGAUCCAGCCAUCCCGCGUGUAGGAUGACGGCCCUCUGGGUUGUAAACUACUUUUAGACAGGAAGAACCGCUUUCAUUUAUGAGAGUUUGACGGUACUGUCAGAAUAAGCACCGGCUAAUUCCGUGCCAGCAGCCGCGGUAAUACGGAAGGUGCAAGCGUUAUCCGGAAUCACUGGGUUUAAAGGGUGCGUAGGCUGUUUAAUAAGUCAGAGGUGAAAGAUGCGGGCUUAACCUGCAAACUGCCUUUGAAACUGUUAGCUUGAAAUAGGUUGAGGUUAGCGGAAUGUGACAUGUAGCGGUGAAAUGCAUAGAUAUGUCAUAGAACACCAAAUUG